GCGCAGCUUACACAUGCAAGUCGAGCGGUAACAGGGGGUGCUUGCACCCCGCUGACGAGCGGCGGACGGGUGAGUAAUGCAUAGGAAUCUGCCCAGUAGUGGGGGAUAGCCCGGGGAAACCCGGAUUAAUACCGCAUACGCCCUUUGGGGGAAAGCAGGGGAUCUUCGGACCUUGCGCUAUUGGAUGAGCCUAUGUCGGAUUAGCUAGUUGGUGGGGUAAAGGCCUACCAAGGCGACGAUCCGUAGCUGGUCUGAGAGGAUGAUCAGCCACAUCGGGACUGAGACACGGCCCGAACUCCUACGGGAGGCAGCAGUGGGGAAUAUUGGACAAUGGGGGCAACCCUGAUCCAGCCAUGCCGCGUGUGUGAAGAAGGCUUUCGGGUUGUAAAGCACUUUCAGUGAGGAGGAAAACCUUCUGGUUAAUACCCAUGAGGCUUGACGUUACUCACAGAAGAAGCACCGGCUAACUCCGUGCCAGCAGCCGCGGUAAUACGGAGGGUGCAAGCGUUAAUCGGAAUUACUGGGCGUAAAGCGCGCGUAGGUGGUUUGAUAAGCGAGAUGUGAAAGCCCCGGGCUUAACCUGGGAACGGCAUUUC
rnacentral:rRNA from 1 species